CCUACGGGGGGCAGCAGUGGGGAAUAUUGGACAAUGGGCGAAAGCCUGAUCCAGCCAUGCCGCGUGUGUGAAGAAGGCCUUCGGGUUGUAAAGCACUUUCAGUGGGGAAGAAAGCCUUGGGGCUAAUACCCUCGAGGAAGGACAUCACCCACAGAAGAAGCACCGGCUAACUCCGUGCCAGCAGCCGCGGUAAUACGGAGGGUGCGAGCGUUAAUCGGAAUUACUGGGCGUAAAGCGCGCGCAGGCGGUCUGAUAAGCCGGUUGUGAAAGCCCCGGGCUCAACCUGGGAACGGCAUCCGGAACUGUCAGGCUAGAGUGCAGGAGAGGAAGGUAGAAUUCCCGGUGUAGCGGUGAAAUGCGUAGAGAUCGGGAGGAAUACCAGUGGCGAAGGCGGCCUUCUGGACUGACACUGACGCUGAGGUGCGAAAGCGUGGGUAGCAAACAGGAUUAGAUACCCUAGUAGUC
rnacentral:rRNA from 1 species